CAAUAGCGUAUAUUUAAGUUGUUGCAGUUAAAAAGCUCGUAGUUGGAUUUCGGUUAAGAGCGACCGGUCCGCCGUUUGGUGUGCACUGGUUGGUUUUAACUUCCUGUAGAGGACGUGCUCUGGGUUUAACGACCUGGACUCGGAGUCUACGUGGUUACUUUGAAAAAAUUAGAGUGUUAAAAGCGGGCUUACGCUUGAAUAUUUCAGCAUGGAAUAACACUAUAGGACUCCUGUCCUAUUUCGUUGGUCUCGGGACGGGAGUAAUGAUUAAGAGGAACAGUUGGGGGCAUUCGUAUUUCAUUGUCAGAGGUGAAAUUCUUGGAUUUAUGAAAGACGAACUUCUGCGAAAGCAUUUGCCAAGGAUGUUUUCAUUAA
rnacentral:rRNA from 1 species